UACGUAGGGGGCAAGCGUUGUCCGGAAUCAUUGGGCGUAAAGAGCGUGUAGGCGGCCCGAUAAGUCCGCUGUGAAAGUCCAGGGCUCAACCCUGGAAUGCCGGUGGAUACUGUCGGGCUCGAAUCCGGAAGAGGUGAGUGGAAUUCCUGGUGUAGCGGUGAAAUGCGCAGAUAUCAGGAGGAACACCAAUGGCGAAGGCGGGUUGCUGGGCUGACACUGACGCUGACAGCGCGAAAGCUAGGGGAGCGAACGGG
rnacentral:rRNA from 1 species